rnacentral:rRNA from 1 species
UAAAUACUAAUACCAGAUCGAUAGUGCACAAGUACCGUGAGGGAAAGGUGAAAAGAACUGAGGUGAUCAGAGUGAAAUAGAACCUGAAACCAUUUGCUUACAAUCAUUCAGAGCCCUAUGUAGCAAUACAGGGUGAUGGACUGCCUUUUGCAUAAUGAGCCUGCGAGUUGUGGUGUCUGGCAAGGUUAAGCAAACGCGAAGCCGUAGCGAAAGCGAGUCUGAAUAGGGCGCUUAGUCAGAUGCUGCAGACCCGAAACGAAGUGAUCUAUCCAUGAGCAAGUUGAAGCUAGUGUAAGAACUAGUGGAGGACUGAACCCAUAGGCGUUGAAAAGCCCCGGGAUGACUUGUGGAUAGGGGUGAAAGGCCAAUCAAACUUCGUGAUAGCUGGUUCUCUCCGAAAUAUAUUUAGGUAUAGCGUUGUGUCGUAAUAUAAGGGGGUAGAGCACUGAAUGGGCUAGGGCAUACACCAAUGUACCAAACCCUAUCAAACUCCGAAUACCUUAUAUGUAAUCACAGCAGUCAGGCGGCGAGUGAUAAAAUCCGUCGUCAAGAGGGAAACAACCCAGACUACCAGCUAAGGUCCCUAAAUCUUACUUAAGUGGAAAACGAUGUGAAGUUACUUAAACAACCAGGAGGUUGGCUUAGAAGCAGCCAUCCUUUAAAGAAAGCGUAAUAGCUCACUGGUCUAGUGAUUUUGCGCGGAAAAUAUAACGGGGCUAAAGUA